rnacentral:rRNA from 2 species
AACGGGUGAGUAAUGCAUCGGAACGUGCCCAGUAGUGGGGGAUAGCCCGGCGAAAGCCGGAUUAAUACCGCAUACGACCUACGGGUGAAAGCGGGGGACCGCAAGGCCUCGCGCUAUUGGAGCGGCCGAUGUCAGAUUAGGUAGUUGGUGGGGUAAAGGCCUACCAAGCCUGCGAUCUGUAGCUGGUCUGAGAGGACGACCAGCCACACUGGGACUGAGACACGGCCCAGACUCCUACGGGAGGCAGCAGUGGGGAAUUUUGGACAAUGGGCGCAAGCCUGAUCCAGCCAUGCCGCGUGCGGGAAGAAGGCCUUCGGGUUGUAAACCGCUUUUGUCAGGGAAGAAAUCUUCUGGGUUAAUACCUCGGGAGGAUGACGGUACCUGAAGAAUAAGCACCGGCUAACUACGUGCCAGCAGCCGCGGUAAUACGUAGGGUGCAAGCGUUAAUCGGAAUUACUGGGCGUAAAGCGUGCGCAGGCGGUUAUGUAAGACAGAUGUGAAAUCCCCGGGCUUAACCUGGGAACUGCAUUUGUGACUGCAUAGCUUGAGUGCGGCAGAGGGGGAUGGAAUUCCGCGUGUAGCAGUGAAAUGCGUAGAUAUGCGGAGGAACACCGAUGGCGAAGGCAAUCCCCUGGGCCUGCACUGACGCUCAUGCACGAAAGCGUGGGGAGCAAAAACAGGAUAAAUACCCGGUAGUCCACGCCCUAAACGAUGUCAACUGGUUGUUGG